UAAAAUUGGGAUAGUCUUAAAGGCCCCAGUAUCCUUUCCAAUCUUGGAAGUAAAGUAAGUUCAACCCUGGUUAGUAUUUAGGUAGGAGACCACAAACACAUACCAGGCUGUAUUUCAA
rnacentral:rRNA from 11 species